AAAGCUUUAGCUUAAUGAAAGUGUUUGUUUUGCAUACAGAAGAUACGGGUUAGCUUCCCGUAAGUUUUA
rnacentral:tRNA from 1 species